rnacentral:rRNA from 1 species
AGUGAACGCUGGCGGUAGGCCUAACACAUGCAAGUCGAACGGCAGCACAGUAAGAGCUUGCUCUUACGGGUGGCGAGUGGCGGACGGGUGAGGAAUACAUCGGAAUCUACUUUUUCGUGGGGGAUAACGUAGGGAAACUUACGCUAAUACCGCAUACGACCUACGGGUGAAAGCAGGGGAUCUUCGGACCUUGCGCGAUUGAAUGAGCCGAUGUCGGAUUAGCUAGUUGGCGGGGUAAAGGCCCACCAAGGCGACGAUCCGUAGCUGGUCUGAGAGGAUGAUCAGCCACACUGGAACUGAGACACGGUCCAGACUCCCACGGGAGGCAGCAGUGGGGAAGAUUGGACAAUGGGCGCAAGCCUGAUCCAGCCAUACCGCGUGGGUGAAGAAGGCCUUCGGGUUGUAAAGCCCUUUUGUUGGGAAAGAAAAGCAGCAGGUUAAUACCCCGCUGUUCUGACGGUACCCAAAGAAUAAGCACCGGCUAACUUCGUG